GGAAAAGCAAAGACCAGUGAAAAUUGGUGAACUGGUCUUUCGUCAACCUCAGGGAUAUUAUUUGCAUCAUAUAAUGGGUGAAUCGCUGUAGGCCAUCGAUGAUAGCAGAUUCAAUCCAUGAUGCAACAUAU
rfam:Picea glauca, whole genome shotgun sequence.